rnacentral:rRNA from 1 species
GACGAACGCUGGCGGCGUGCUUAACACAUGCAAGUCGAGCGGAAAGGCCCUGCUUUUGUGGGGCGCGCGAGGGGCGAGCGGGUGAGAAGCACGUGAGUAGCCCUCCCUUUAGGUUGGGAUAACUUCAAGGGACUGGGGCUAAUACCGGAUAGGCGCUCCGGAUGCAGGGUGGUGGUUGGACAGCGUCGGCGGUGGGGGAUGGACGCGCGGUUUAUCAGCUUGUUGGGGGGGUAGUGGCUUACCAAGGCUUUGACGGGUAGCCGGCCUGAGAGGGUGACCGGCCACAUUGGGACUGAGAUACGGCCCAGACUCCUACGGGAGGCAGCAGUGGGGAAUAUUGCACAAUGGGCGGAAGCCUGAUGCAGCAACGCCGCGUGCGGGAUGACGGCCUUCGGGUUGUAAACCGCUUUCGCCUGUGACGAAGCGUGAGUGACGGUAACAGGUAAAGAAGCACCGGCUAACUACGUG